UGGUCGUACAAGAAGAACAGGGGGGCGAUCCCCACACAUCAAAACCCUAAAUCUUCACCAAACUUGCAAAUUGAAGGCUCAAUCCAAGUCAAAAUCGAAAAUCAAGCAAAGAUUAUUGAUCCCCAUGGCAAGAGGGUUUUUGACUCUUGACAAGCUAGAUGGAGGCUUGGGAAUGAAGCGGGUCAAACGGAGCAAGUACGAAAAGGAAAGCGUAAUUUGGAUGCGAGGUAAGUAAAACUUACACCUAAUUGUAGUGUACGUGUUUAUUUUAUAGGCGAUAGAUACAACAAAGGAUUUGGUUCGAAUUAUGGAUUCCAACACAAAACGAAUUGGGUUGGAACGAAUAGAAACGUUUUAAACCAUGAUUAAUGGUGAAAAAGGCAAAACGGUAAACUAGUCAUGAAUUGGUUAAUAGUUUAAGAGUUUUCUUAAAGUUACCUUAUAGCGUAACUAGUAAUGGAAAAUGAGUAAGAAUGGAAAUUUUAGUCAAGUAUUGACUAAAGUAAAAUAAGUUUCAAAGGACACCCAUAGCAUAAGCCGAAUGGGUUAAAAAUAUAGGAAAUUGACUUUAGAAAGAAAGGGAUCUAGUGAGAAAAUCCGAAAUGGUUCGGAUGUGUGAUUGGUAAUUAAAAACCAUGUUUUUGUUACAUAUGAAAACGUUGGGUUAUAUAGACCGAACGGGUCAAAUGGUGGGAAUAACGUCAUUUGACAAAAUCAACUAAUGUGGUGGUCAAGUCAUGUGUUACAGGAGCGAAUAGUAAUUUGGAUAAUUGCGUCGCCAUAGAAUAUCGGUAAUAAAAGCAAGGUGUUGAAAUGGGUCACUAGGGUGACUCGAGCCAGGUACGUAUAAAUACGAUUGUGGUUAAACAUACAUUCUUUUUUGGGUCAAAUAAGUAGCAAAUGCCCUUCGUCGUAAAUGAGGGGCUAAAGUUGACUAAAAUGCCCUUGUUGGGUAAACCGAGCAAACAACCUUUAAAAGUUGUUGGAAAUAAGUGUUUUGGUAGAUUAAAUCCUUAAGAUAAGUAUAAAAGGGAUGUUAUGGGACCUUAGUGCAUAAAUACCCUUAACGGGUCAAAAUAAGCAUACAAACGAAAACGGGUUUAAUUUGUGUAAUAAACCGGGGAUUAUAAUCUAGUAUGAUAGAUAACAUUAAGUUGAAGAAGUACACGAGAUAUAAAGGUCAAAUACACAAGUUUGUGAUGAAAUCACGAACGGGUCAAAAGUUGACAAAAAGGGUAAUAAGCCAAAGAUUUAAAAGUCUGAAAUUUUGUUAAACCAGAUGUUAGAUUUUAACUCCAUAUGAUGGAGAAUCAAAUUACAAACACGUAGGAAGAAACGGUAGGUUAAACAGACGAGCGGUUUGAAAGAUACGAAAGUUUUCGUGUCAAAAACGGCAAAAAGGAAAGGAAUGAUGCAGGGGCCACCGUAACUUACGGUGCCACCGUAAGUUACGGUGGACAUGAUUUGGUUACGGUAAAUGCCUACUGUUGUACAGUUGAAUAAUUGAAACACAGAGACCACCGUAACUUACGGUGCCACCGUAAGUUACGGUGGAGGUCAGAAAUGAGUUUUUAUUUUGGAUUUAAGAUAUCCAUGUGGGAUUUUCCUAAUUUCCCCGUUGUAUUACUUUAAUUAAUUAUCAAAACUGACCUUUAAGUUGGUUUUGAUCACAGGUGAAUGUCGAGGGUCCCGGAUGAAGAUCGAGCAUCGAGCAAGAACCGAACACACAUUAAAUAAAGCUUCCGCAACGUUGUUUUGUCGUUAUUCUAAACGGCGAUUUAAAUCACAUUAUGUAUAUCACUUAAAUUGUAAAAGUUUUUAACAAACCCGUAUUUCCGAUGUAUAUAUAAUCAUUAAUUACAUGAUUAUUUUCGCAAAAUAUACGUUAAGCCUUGAUUUAUAAGAACGGGUCUUACAAGUUGGUAAUCAGAGCUCAAGGUUGUUGACAAAAUGUGUUCGGUUCGAGGCUUGAUCGCAAAUCCGGUAAGUACAUGUAUAUUAAUGGUUUGGUAUGUGUUGAAAUGUUGUGAACAACACAUAGGGUUAUCGUGUGAUACACGUUACCCCAAUUAAAAUGAUUGAUAUAGUUGACGAAAAUACGUGCGUUGACGCGUAUAGUAGAAAAAGUCUCGUAUUAUAAUACGGGCGAUUAUUAAAGUUGAUAUUACUAACUCUUGUGAAUGUUUUAAUUAAAGGACACUCGCGUUGAAGACGACGAGAGUCAAACAAAUUGUGGAUACGAUGAUGGAACGAUCCGAAGUAUGACAAGAGGAGCAUGCUCACCGAGGACUAAAUCGCGUAAAGACCGCGAACAAGGUUAAUGGCAAGGAACGCCCGUCGGGGCAAACAUUACCAGGUGCACAUUUUAAAUAAUCGCACAAAUAGUAAUAUGCAACAAAUAAGUAGAAAUUGAAAGUUGCAUAUGUAGAUUAAAAACUUGGAAAAAAAAAACCCGAAUAGAAAAUGUAUUCGGGAUAUUGUUUCCAAGAGAAACAAAUAGAGGCGUUAUUUACAUAGGGCGUGAUGUGAAAACUAUAAAAAGGUCAUGUGCGUCAUGUGUUAAUCGCUUACUCUGGCCAAGUAAGUAGUGGCAUAUGAUACCAUGAACUUCUUAUGGCGGACGCGUUUACAUCCGAUGUAGUAAGGGCGGGGUGAAUGGGACUAAUUAAAAAGUACCCAAAUGAAUCAGAUAAGCAAAAUAUUUGAUAAUAAUGUAAACGCACAACCGAGUGACGGAAGCGUAUUACAUCAGGUUAAUGAGCCCGAGUGAAGGGACAAAGAAGCAUGUAAAAUGAUUUAGACAAGUAUUGGGAGGAGUGUACUUACACUCGAACCCAGAAAACGCAAGCAUGUAAAAUGAUUUAGACAAGUAUUGGGAGGGAGUGUACUUACACUCGAACCCAGAAAACGCAAGCAUGUAAAAUGAUUUAGACAAGUAUUGGGAGGGAGUGUACUUACACUCGAACCCAGAAAACGCAAGCAUGUAAAAUGAUUUAGACAAGUAUUGGGAGGGAGUGUACUUACACUCGAACCCAGAAAACGCAAACAUGUAAAAUGAUUUAGACAAGCAUUGGGAGGGAGUGUACUUACACUCGAACCCGGAAAAUGCAAAUAUGUCCCUUAACGGGUCGUUUUUGUAAAACGUCAAACUUAAAGACAAAGUCG
rnacentral:lncRNA from 1 species